GGCCUNAAAAGGUAGGAUUACCCGCUGAACUUAAGCUUUUAA
rnacentral:rRNA from 1 species